rnacentral:rRNA from 1 species
GGACGGGUGAGUAAUGUCUGGGAAACUGCCCGAUGGAGGGGGAUAACUACUGGAAACGGUAGCUAAUACCGCAUAACGUCGCAAGACCAAAGAGGGGGACCUUCGGGCCUCUUGCCAUCGGAUGUGCCCAGAUGGGAUUAGCUAGUAGGUGGGGUAACGGCUCACCUAGGCGACGAUCCCUAGCUGGUCUGAGAGGAUGACCAGCCACACUGGAACUGAGACACGGUCCAG